rnacentral:rRNA from 1 species
CCUACGGGUGGCAGCAGUGGGGGAUAUUGGGCAAUGGGCGCAAGCCUGACCCAGCAACGCCGCGUGAGGGAAGAAGGCUUUCGGGUUGUAAACCUCUGUUCUCAGUGACGAUGAAGGUGGCGGUACCGGAGGAAUCAGCCACGGCUAACUACGUGCCAGCAGCCGUGGUAAGUCGGAGGUGGCAAGCGUUAUCCUGAUUUAGUGGGUGUAAAGGGCGUGUAGGCGGGGGCGCAAGUCAGAUGUGAAAACUCAGGGCUCAACCCUGAGCCUGCAUUUGAAACUGUGGUUCUUGAGUGCUGGAGAGGCAAUCGGAAUUCCGUGUGUAGCGGUGAAAUGCGUAGAGAUACGGAGGAACACCAGUGGCGAAGGCGGAUUGCUGGACAGUAACUGACGCUGAGGCGCGAAAGCGUGGGGAGCAAACAGGAUUAGAUACCCCAGUAGUC